AUUUCUUUCUGUAAUUCAUCCAUCAAAUGCUAACUGAGCAUCUGUUCUUUGUAUCAGGUGCAGCUCUAAAACGUAUAGACCAGGAGGGAACAAGACCUGUGGCUUCAUGGAACACACACGUGAACAAAAUAGCCCACCUACUCCUCAGUCCUGCUUCUGGUAUGUGCAAUGCCUCCAACCUCCAAGACAUUCCAGCAUUCUCUACUCAAGAGACUUGCUUGAUGUGGGUGGGAUCCUUUCACAGGAGAAAGCUGACAGGAUGUCCUUCCAUGGGUGGCCCAGUAUGGGAAUUGUGGACGAGUACAAAGUCCUACUCAAGUUAUUAAGUCUCAGGAAAAACAACAGUGACCACGACAACAACAGCAAAACAUCCUAGCCACUUUCCCUGGAGAAGACUAUCUGGUGUCCUGUGUUACCUGUAGUGAAAUCCUUUUGGGGAGGAAAACCAGAGCAAGAGAUUUGUGAACAAUUUGGGGCAAGGGGAGAAGAAAUCUAUGAGGGCUGUUCUCUGCUUGGGAGGAUAAGAAAAAUCAGUUUCUCAGCCCUGAAAAGCAAAAAGCCAGUUAUUUUAUUUCGUCCAAUACAACACUUGAGGGGAUAGUGUGAAUAAAGUUUUCUGAGACCCCGGAGAAGUAAGGGUAAGAGCAAUUAGAUGCCACCAAGGGAAAUGUUACAGUGGCAAAAAUACAAUGGAUCCAUUUUGGUUUUCAGUGGUAUGGGGUUUGUGUGGAAAAGGGUUCUGACGAUGGUGUGCACUUUUCAUAUCCAACUCCUUUAUUUAGCCUUAUUCUUACUAAGUGGUAUGAACUGGGCACUGUACUCACGGCCUAGUGUAUAGCGAGUGUUCAGUGAAUUUCAGGUGAGAGAAGACCACAGGGGAGUUAUAGAAGCUGUCCAAGAAGCCAGUGGCAGCCCUCAGCAGGUCCAGGUGGAAGGCAGUGCUUAGCUAGCUGGGAUGGCUCUCUGGACAGGUCCCGGGC
rnacentral:lncRNA from 1 species